GACAGAGGUGCCAAGCGUUAGGCGGAAUCACUGGGCUUAAAGCGUGUGUAGGCGGAUGCCUAAGUACCUUGUGAAAUCCCACGGCUCAACCGUGGAACUGCUGGGUAUACUGGGCGUCUUGGGCCAACUAGGGGUCGCUGGAACAAAUGGUGGAGCGGUGAAAUGCGUAGAUAUCAUUUGGAACGCCAAGGGCGACAGCAGGUACCUGGACCAUUACUGACACUCAGCUGCGAAAGCUAGGGGAGCAAACAGG
rnacentral:rRNA from 1 species